UACGUAGGGUGCGAGCGUUAAUCGGCAUUACUGGGCGUAAAGCGUGCGCAGGCGGUUUUGUAAGCCAGAUGUGAAAGCCCCGGGCUCAACCUGGGAAUGGCAUUUGGGACUGCAAGGCUUGAGUGCGGCAGAGGAGACUGGAAUUCCUGGUGUAGCAGUGAAAUGCGUAGAUAUCAGGAGGAAUACCGAUGGCGAAGGCAGGUCUCUGGGCUGACACUGACGCUCAUGCACGAAAGCGUGGGGAGCAAACAGG
rnacentral:rRNA from 1 species